UACGGGAGGCAGCAGUGGGGGAUAUUGCACAAUGGGGGAAACCCUGAUGCAGCGACGCCGCGUGGAGGAAGAAGGUUUUCGGAUUGUAAACUCCUGUCGUUAGGGACGAUAAUGACGGUACCUAACAAGAAAGCACCGGCUAACUACGUGCCAGCAGCCGCGGUAAAACGUAGGGUGCAAGCGUUGUCCGGAAUUACUGGGUGUAAAGGGAGCGCAGGCGGACCGGCAAGUUGGAAGUGAAAACUAUGGGCUCAACCCAUAAAUCGCUUUCAAAACUGCUGGCCUUGAGUAGUGCAGAGGUAGGUGGAAUUCCCGGUGUAGCGGUGGAAUGCGUAGAUAUCGGGAGGAACACCAGUGGCGAAGGCGACCCACUGGGCACCAACUGACGCUGAGGCUUGAAAGCAUGGGUAGCAAACAGGAUUAGAUACCCUGGUAGUCCAUGCAGUAAACGAUGAUUACUAGGUGUUGGAGGAUUGACCCCUUCAGUGCCGCAGUUAACACAAUAAGUAAUCCACCUGGGGAGUACGACCGCAAGGUUGCAACUCAAAAG
rnacentral:rRNA from 1 species